rnacentral:rRNA from 1 species
AUUGAACGCUGGCGGCAUGCCUUACACAUGCAAGUCGAACGGCAGCACGGACUUCGGUCUGGUGGCGAGUGGCGAACGGGUGAGUAAUACAUCGGAACGUGCCCAGUCGUGGGGGAUAACGUAGCGAAAGCUACGCUAAUACCGCAUACGAUCUACGGAUGAAAGCGGGGGAUCGCAAGACCUCGCGCGAUUGGAGCGGCCGAUGGCAGAUUAGGUAGUUGGUGGGGUAAAGGCUCACCAAGCCGGCGAUCUGUAACUGGUCUGAGAGGACGACCAGCCACACUGGGACUGAGACACGGCCCAGACUCCUACGGGAGGCAGCAGUGGGGAAUUUUGGACAAUGGGCGCAAGCCUGAUCCAGCCAUUCCGCGUGCAGGAUGAAGGCCCUCGGGUUGUAAACUGCUUUUGUACGGAACGAAAAGGCUCUGGUUAAUACCCGGGGCUCAUGACGGUACCGUAAGAAUAAGCACCGGCUAACUACGUGCCAGCAGCCGCGGUAA